CCAGACUAGAGUGAUUCGGCACAUCUUGUGGUCUGGCAUCUGGCUUUGCCUGCCCACUGCCCUCCCCUUUUGCUCUCACAAGUUCCUGAUCAGGAAAGUUCCUGUACAUGUGUGCUCUACCGAGGGGAUUUCCGUAGCUCCUUCCUGUGAAUGCAGAUAUCUAGCAAUGGAACUGAGACAGAAGCACUGCUUAACUGGCACAGAAAUAGCAGGCCCAGAAAUCCCAAAUGGACUGCCCUCUCCUUGUGCAGGCCUUCCCUCGACAGAAACAGGAAGGUUCUCUGUUGUGCAACUCUUCUGGCAUUCUUCAGUCUGGGGCGAUUCACGGAUUUAAAAAUUGAUGUUUGCGAGCUGCUGCUAUCAUUGUUUCCUACAAGGUAAUCUUCUCCAGGCAAUGCAUGCUGCAUAUUCCACCCCAGGGUAAGCAGAGAGGGCCAUAUACCCUCAGACUUGUUUUGAGAAAGUGAGACUGAAGCUAAUUCCUCGGACCGAUGUGCUGAAAGGCAGUAAAGCAGAAGCCUUACAGGGCGAGGUCUAGGUGAAAGACGAAGCAGAGGCUUGACUGUCCUUGUGGAGACAUUGAUUAAGAUGCUCCAGGCUUGUUUGCACAAGGAAUUUAACCACAAUAACUAUUGCGCUAUGCUAUAUUCUGGAAUGGGUCAAUUUACUCUCAAAUCACGCAAAUGAAGCAAAGGACAGUUUCACAGAAUCACAGAAUGGCCAAGGUUGGAAGGGACCUCUGGAGAUCAUCUAGUGCAACCCCCCUGCUCAAGCAGGGUCAUAUUGAGCACAUUGCACAGGAUCGCGUCCAGGCAGGCUUUGAAUAUCUCCAGAGAAGCAGACUCAGUGUCUUACUCUGGAACUGAGAAGCCAUACAAGCCUUUCUCACAAGAAGCUGUAGAGGAGGAGGCAUUGUAGGACAGCUGUUCCCAUCACUUUCUCUACGUAGCAGAGCCUUUGUAUCCUUUCCUGAAGAAACAGAUAAAGUCUCUCAUGUUAUAUGUCAUAGUGAAGGGCCUAUGCAUCAGCAAUCCCAGGAGCAGUGGCUUUGUUCUGGAAAUAUUGAUAUCCUCAGAGGCUGGAGCCUCCCUAACAGUCCUCCCAAUGCCAAGCAAUUGAAGCAAACUUUCUCUUCAAGCAGUUUGCAAAUGUGAAAAAAAAUCAAAAGGAACCAUAGAGAGUUUUGGGGUGUGGCCAGCGUAUGACCCCUUUUGACAUUUAGGGUGGAUAAGCCAAUAUACCCUCUUUCUGGCUUUUCUUUUUUACCAAAUCAAAAAAGAUGGCAUGCAACUGCUGUCACUGCUUUGCAUAAAUCAAAAGAUCCAGCUUUGUGUAUCUUACUUGGUUAUUUCCUAUAAAAAGCACAUCUGUGGCCAUACCU
rnacentral:lncRNA from 1 species